CCUACGGGAGGCUGCAGUGGGGAAUAUUGCGCAAUGGGCGAAAGCCUGACGCAGCGACGCCGCGUGAGGGAUGAAGGUCUUCGGAUCGUAAAACUCUGUCAGCAGGGAAGAACGGUCACGGUGGUAAUCAGCCGUGAAUUGACGGUACCUACAAAGGAAGCACCGGCUAACUCCGUGCCAGCAGCCGCGGUAAUACGGAGGGUGCAAGCGUUAAUCGGAAUUAAUGGGCGUAAAGCGCGCGUAGGCGGUAUGUCAAGUCAAGGGUGAAAGCCCCGGGCUCAACGUGGGAAGUGCCUUUGAAACUGGCAAACUGGAGUGUGUAAGAGGAUAGUGGAAUUCCAGGUGUAGGGGUGAAAUGCGUAGAGAUCUGGAGGAACAUCAGUGGCGAAGGCGACUAUCUGGCACAUAACUGACGCUGAGGAGCGAAAGCGUGGGGAGCAAACAGGAUUAGAUACCCGAGUAGUC
rnacentral:rRNA from 1 species